rnacentral:rRNA from 1 species
AACGAACGCUGGCGGCAGGCCUAACACAUGCAAGUCGAGCGCUCUAGCAAUAGAGAGCGGCGCACGGGUGAGUAACGCGUAGGAAUCUACCUUGUAGUACGGAACAACAGUUGGAAACGACUGCUAAUACCGUAUACGCCCUUCGGGGGAAAGAAUUUCGCUAUAAGAUGAGCCUGCGUUAGAUUAGCUAGUUGGUGAGGUAAUGGCUCACCAAGGCUCCGAUCUAUAGCUGGUCUGAGAGGAUGAUCAGCCACACUGGGACUGAGACACGGCCCAGACUCCUACGGGAGGCAGCAGUGGGGAAUAUUGGGCAAUGGGCGCAAGCCUGACCCAGCCAUGCCGCGUGAGUGAUGACGGCCUUAGGGUUGUAAAGCUCUUUUAGUGGUGAGGAUGAUGACGGUAACCACAGAAAAAGCCCCGGCUAACUUCGUGCCAGCCGCCGCAGUAA